GUGCUCACUUUGGCAGCACAUAUAUUAAAAUUGGAAUGAUUCAGAGAAGAUUAGCAUGGCCCCUGCUCAAGGAGGACCUAAAAAUUCAUGAAGCAUUCCAUAUUUGU
rnacentral:snRNA from 1 species